UACGGGGGGGGCAAGCGUUGUUCGGAAUUACUGGGCGUAAAGGGCUCGUAGGUGGCCAACUAAGUCAGACGUGAAAUCCCUCAGCUUAACUGGGGAACUGCGUCUGAUACUGGAUGGCUUGAGUUUGGGAGAGGGACGCGGAAUUCCAGGUGUAGCGGUGAAAUGCGUAGAUAUCGGGAGGAACAUCUGUGGCGAAGGCGACACCCUGGACCAGCACUGACACUGAGGCACGAAAGCGUGGGGAGCAAACAGG
rnacentral:rRNA from 1 species